UACAGAGGUUGCGAGCGCGAAUCGGAUUUACUGGGCGUAAAGCGUGCGUAGGCGGCUGUUUUAGUCGGACGUGAAAUCCCCGAGCUUAACUUGGGAAUUGCAUUCGAUACUGGGAAGCUAGGGGAUGGGAGAGGAUGGUAGAAUUCCAGGUGUAGCGGUGAAAUGCGUAGAGAUCUGGAGGAAUACCGAUGGCGAAGGCAGCCAUCUGGCCUAAUACUGACGCUGAGGUACGAAAGCAUGGGGAGCAAACAGG
rnacentral:misc_RNA from 1 species